GCGCAGAGCCUCCUCUUUGUUCCCUCCCGCAGAGCACUACAGGCACCACUGGUUCCCCCUGGUGCCCUCCAAGGGCUCCGGCUACCGCUGCAUCAGGAUCAACCAUAAGAUGGACCCCUUGAUAGGAAAGGCGGCGGGGAUGAUCGGACUGAGCCACGAGAGGCUCUUCCAGCUCUUGCCCAGCGAAUUAACGCUGUGGGUCGACCCUUUCGAAGUGUCCUAUCGCAUAGGUGAGGAUGGGUCUAUCUGUGUGCUGUACGAAAGCCCCCCGCCUGGGGGGAAGGCGGCCAAACAGCUGGAGAGCAGGACCAGCUGCAAGGAGGAGUGGAGGAUUGGCAGAUCCAGCCCUUCCAAGAGUUACAACAUGAUGACGGUUUCUAGUUAAAAACAACUCUUCCCUGUACGAUGUUGUAUGUAUCCCAACCUCAUGGUAAAGUUAGAUGUAACUGAGCAUUUUUUUGGUUUUAAAUUUUUUUUUUUUUUCACCCUAUAGUCAUUAAAGUCGUGGUAGUACUGCCAAGUUCUUUGUGGUCAAGGGCUAAAUGUAUAAAGCAGUUCUUUACACUGCAUGUUCCUUUCUGGGCUGUGUCCUGUAAAUGCACUGUACAGUUGGUGGAUUGUUUUACACAUUUAUAUUUUCAAAAAAGUUCUGCGUAUUUGUAAUAAAAAGCAAUAUUGUAGCACUCUUUAUGAUGGGUUUUAGUCAAAAUUGGUACUUGCUAAAAAACAAUCUCUAAUUUGCAGAGCAAUAACACAAAGUGGGGUGGGAAACAGAUCUAACAAACUGCACAUAAAUCUUUGCAGUGAUUUGUCUGCACAGACUUCUCUCAGGGUCAUUCAAGUUUGACUGUGAGGCACAAAUCACAGAAAUAACUCUUUAUUUUUCCUUCUUCAAAGCAUGCAUUUAUUUGUGGGCUAGGUUCCAUCACACCCCAAUAUUUUAGCAAAAUAGAACUGGGGAAUUAGUUGUCUGGUUAUUUCUAGUUAUGGGAGUAGAAAAAUAAAGACUUGCUUAAAAUGAU